rnacentral:tmRNA from 1 species
GGGGGCGCACUGGUUUCGACGUGGUAAUGUACGAGUCAGGAGCAUGUCGAGCGUUUAUUAGGUGCUCGUAAAACAACUAAUUAAAAACAAUAAAUGCAAACUCAUCGUUUGUAGGAUCUCGUCAGUCUUCCCUAGCUUCAUGGCAAGGUAUGGCUGCUGCCUAACUUAGGCAGAUCCCUCUUUUACAGGCGUGUCUAUCAGCUGAGUAAAAGUAGUAUUAAUCAGAUAGAACAAGCACCAUAGCUUUUAAAGUUGGGUACUGUGCUUGUAUCACGUAAACUUUCAUAGAUAUAUAAGCUCGGUUAUCUAGUGUAUAUCUAUGUAACUCUUGAUAACUAAACAUGUAGUGCUUGACGCGGAUGUUUCUACGGACAUGGGUUCGACUCCCAUCGCCUCCACCA